rnacentral:misc_RNA from 1 species
AAAAAAAAAAAAAAAAAGAGGACCAAACCAAAUAAGAAUACUUCUCUGGCCAACUUCAUCAGAGCUGUUAGCUCAGCAACAAUUGUCGGGCCUCUCUCCCUCUGUUACUUUUUGAUCUUGCAUUCUUUAGCUUGCUGAACAAUGUGGAAGAACGUUCAUUUCAAGCAGUUGUUAUCAAAGGUUAGAAGCUACUCAAGAAUAGUUCCUCCACCAGCCGCCUAUGUGAAACCAGUUAUCAGAGUCUCUAAUAAUAUUGCCCAUUUGGGCUCUCCAAAAGAUAGUCCCAAGCCACGCCAGCUCCUAUCCUUGCCUCCAUUUCCCCACCUCCCUUUGCCUGGAAAGAAUUUGGUGACAUCUCAUGUCACCGCUAUUAGUUGGCUCAAAUAUUAUUUCAAUGAAAUCCCCGACUCUGCUAUCCAAUCACAUUUUAACAAGGGCCUUGUCCAAAUGGAGUGCCCAAGUGGUAGUAACUCCAUCAAACAGGGAGGACCAACAUCUAUGAGAAAGAUUAAACCUAAUGACAUCAUGGAGGAAGGAGCAAGAAUUCAUAUACCUGUAUCAGUGGCUGAGACUAGGAUUUCCAAGAGGUUUGGCAUCAUACCAAGUGGAACUUUAUAUCCAAACGCUGAUGAGAUUGAAUAUUUACAAAGGCUUGUCGAGUACAAGGACUCCGCUAUAGUUGUUCUAAACAAACCCCCAAAAUUGCCUGUCAAGGGGAAUUUGCCAGUUCACAAUAGCAUGGAUGCAUUGGCAGCUGCAGCUUUGUCUUAUGAUUAUGAUGAGGGCCCUAAAUUGGUGCAUCGCCUCGACACCGAGAGCAGUGGUCUUAUUUUAUUGGGGAGAACAAAAGAAAGCAUUGGUCUUCUUCACUGGUUAUUUAAUGACCUAAAUAAACCAAAUUCCUGGUGUAAGGUACUUCUGUUAUUGUUCUUGUUAUGUAAACAAGGGUAUGCGUCUCUUAAGAUAAAUAAGGAGAGAGAAUUUAAUGCGUCCACCUUUUGGUUUGUAACAAUAAUACAUGUUGGGCAAUUUUAGGCUUGGAAUGAUGCAUGUGAAGCAAUGUAUCAAAGGUAUUGGGCGUUGGUUAUAGGCACUCCCACAGAAAAGGAAGGCUUAAUUCAAGCUCCUCUUACAAAGGUUAUUUCUCUGUGCGUGUGUGUACGGAAGCAAUAAUUGUCAUCUCUUGGGACAUCUUCAAGGACAACAUGAUUUGUUCCAGUUGUUGCUUAUUGUAGGUGCUUCUUAAUGAUGGGAAGACUGACAGAGUUGUCUUGGCUCAGCAUUCAGGUUUGGAGGCUUCCCAAGAAGCUUUAACUGAAUAUCGAGUGUUAGGUCCUAUAAUAAAUGGAUGUUCGUGGAUUGAGCUCCGUCCACUCACGAGCCGAAAGCAUCAGCUGCGGGUGCAUUGUGCUGAAGCUCUUGGGACUCCCAUUGUUGGCGACUACAAGUAUGGUUGGUUUGUGCACCAGAGAUGGAAGCAAAUGCCUCGAGUUGAUAUUGAGCCAUUUUCUGGGAAACCAUACAAGUUGCGGAGGCCAGAAGGUCUAGAUGUUCAGAAGGGAAGCGUGUUGUCAAAGGUCCCCUUGUUACAUCUCCACUGUAGGGAACUCGUGCUUCCAAACAUUGCAAAGUUUGUUGAUGUUUUAAAUCAAAAGUCUGAAAGCCUCUGCCUACCAGUUGAUGCAAAGCCAGAUCUUCUUCGGUUUGUGGGAUCAAUGCCAAACCACAUGAAAAUUAGUUGGAAUCUCAUGUCCUCUUAUUUGGUGUAAGGAUAUCAGGGAUUUUUAUUUUUUUAUUUAUUUAUUUUUUUUAAUUUUCAAUUGUAAUAUGGCAGGGUUGGGAAGACCUCGUUGAUGAAUCAGUAUUGCUCUUCAAAACCCAGAUCUUCAUUUUGAGUUUUAUUUUUUGGUGAUUUAAUUUUCUAAUUUGGUGUUUGAUUUCAAUUGUUGAAUUUUACAUACAGGUACGUGAAUCGAAAGUUUAGCAAUCAGUACAAAGCGACGAUAGGAGCUGAUUUUUUGACAAAAGAAGUUCAAUUUGAGGAUAGGUUGUUCACAUUGCAGGUUGUAUUAAGAACACCUUUUUUUUUUUAACUGUCAUUUUAUCAAUUAUUUUUUUAUUUGUACGAAUGAAUCUAUAUUCACUGAAAUUUGAAAAGAUGAAAUUACAAAAACAUCAUAGCUGAAAGCUUUUAACUUCUUCAUUUGUUUGAGGUUUCAGAUGACUGUGAUUCCAUAUUGGUUCGAGGAAUUAUUAUCUAAUUAUGAAAGUUUCUGCAAGUUUAAAUAGAAGCAUAGAGUGGUGGGGACUUACUUACUUGGUACCAUAGAGCAGAAAUUUGGAUGGCAUUGUGUGUGGACAAAUUCGCGUUUCAUGAAUGAUAUAUGCUUCAUGGUUAAUUCAUAUUUCAUACCUUAAUUUGGAUUACUCAGAAAGGAGAAGAGAACACCUAGAAUUAUAUGUUGGGUAUCAAGAGAAAUAUAUUGAAGCGGAAACAUAAUUAAAGAACAGUAAGAAAAUGAGCAAUACAAUUGUCUGUUGGCUGGCUAUAUUGGAAUCUGAGUUGUACCUUGAACAAUUGACCAAAUUGUCCAGCUUGAUACAAUUGCAUAAAUGAAAACUAGAGGUUCUGUAAACAGACUGAUAAUUAUUAUUGCUUCACUGUAUUAGAUUGAACAACAAAGAUAGGCGUAAGAGUUUACGUUCAAGGUUGAAGGCUAGGCAAUUUCUUCAUUAUUUUCACUUUGGAGUAAUAUUAAUAAGUUAUUAGUGUACCACAAAACUGCAACACUAAAAGUUUUAUGAAGCAUAUCUGUAACGUAAAUCAUUUUCAUACUUGGGUGGAUUGCCCAGUAAUUGCAAACUAAGUGAUUUUGUCCUGAGCCUUGUUAUUUAUGCAUACAGAUAUGGGAUACUGCGGGGCAAGAAAGGUUUCAAAGUCUUGGAGUGGCUUUCUAUCGUGGCGCCGACUGUUGUGUUCUUGUGUAUGAUGUGAAUGUCAUGAAAUCAUUUGAUAAUCUUAAUAAUUGGAGAGAAGAGUUUCUGAUUCAGGCUAGUCCUUCUGACCCUGAAAACUUCCCAUUUGUUGUGUUGGGGAACAAGAUAGAUGUCGAUGAUGGCAAUAGUCGGAUGGUAAGCUAAUUUUCUUCCACAACAUCCCAAAAAAGGAACUUGAGAAACUUCCUUUGAAUAUUAACUUCUCACAGGAUUUAAAUGAUGUUAAAACCUUAUAUUGGUGUUGUGAAGAUGUAUACACAUUUGAUAGCUAAAUUGUAUAUAGAUAGAUAUUGUUCCUCCUGUUGAUUUUAGAUUUCAGAGAAGAAAGCGAAGGCAUGGUGUGCUUCUAAGGGAAACAUACCUUACUUCGAGACUUCUGCAAAAGAAGGAUUCAAUGUGGAUGCUGCUUUCCAGUGCAUAGCCAAAAAUGCACUAAAGAAUGAACCUGAAGAAGAAAUGUAAGUUAAAAAUAAUUAAGUAAAUUAACUGCAAUUAAGGUUUGUCUUUGCUCUUCUUCCCACUUGAGGCAUGUUUUGAAGCCAUUUAGUUGUUAAAGUAACACUUGCUUUAUUUUUGUUUCUUCACCUUUCACCCUCAUGCAGUCUCCCUGUGUUUUUGAUCUUGAGACAUUUCUGUGUUCAUUGAAUUGGUUGGGGAAAAUAUAAGGAAUUGCGUGGCAAUUUUCAUUAAAUUAACCAAACUAUUUGUCAUGGAUACUAACUGAUUGCUUUGAACUUCUGUUUGGUAUUGAAAGAUAUCUUCCUGACACAAUCGAUGUUGGGGGUGGAGGGCGGCAGCAAAGAUCCACGGGCUGUGAAUGUUAGAAGGAACUUCCAGACCCACAGGAUUUGCAUGUUAGAAGGAAUUUCCGACUCACUCCCUACGUUCUAUCUAUUGGAAAUGCAACUUUCAUUCAUAUGUUUCCAUUCAACAUCCAGUGAUUAUAACAGGGGGACUAAUAACUAGGAAGAGGGCACGCCAAAUUUCAUUUUGUAUCAUAUGCAACUGUGGGAGCACAGUUCCAUUAUUAAUAACUUUGUUUCCUUCUGAAAAUUUUACGUUUAUGUUCAAUUAUGAUUCCUCUGGAUAUAUUGACAUUAUUAUCCUGGGAGAGUGUUGUUUGCUCAUUUAUGAUUAUAUAAUUUGGGAAAUAAAUUUGGUGGAUCAAAAAUUCAAAAC